AUAUUAAUUAUAAUUAUGUCUGAGUAAUUUUUAUUCUCUUUCUUCUCAUUCUGACUUCUAGAAACCUUGUGGGAAAAUGGUGCCUAUUUUUGACAACUGGAUGUCUUCGUGGCCGAGGUCCCUAUGACCUUCCUCUCAAAAGAAUACGUGUAGUUUUAGUUCUCAGACAUCUGGGUCUUGCUCUGUUGCCCAGGCUAGAGUGCAGUAAUGUGAUCAUGGCUCACUGAAGCCUCAGCCUCCGCCUCCUGGGCUCAAGUGAGCCUCCUACCUCAGCCUCCCGAGUAACUGGGACCACAGCAUGUUCUUUUAAACUUCCUAAAGAAGCCCAUGAUAACUGGGAACACGGGCCCUUCACUGAGGCAGGAGAAUCACAUGAGCCACACAUGAUAUCCACUGGAGGAGACAGAAAGUCUGGGAGUGUCAACUGAAUUGAAAGAAAAGGAAAGCAGAGAUGACAGACAGCACACCGGAAGUGACAGGAUAAGCAGUGCAUCUAGCUGGGAAAUAUGUACACUGCCUCCUUCUAUAUCUCAAAAAUCAUCUAGAAUGUUAGAGUGAUUUUCUGGGUCAGAGGGAAGACACGUCUUCAUUUGUUAACUUUUAGAUUUGCGUACCAACUUAUUACUGUAAGCAAUUUAAUUGCAAAGGAUAAAGAACAAGAUAUGAUGCAUCAUCAGGAGAAAAGUCAAGAAUCCAUGUUUAAAUUCAGUUACCUUAUGUAAUCGAAGGUAUACAUGAGCCGAAGAGAGUUUGUCCACAUGAAACCUACAAAGAAUGAAAACCACUUUUAGCAAGAGGUACAAGACAAUCAUCUCCUCAGGCCACAUGCCAUUUAAAGCAUUCUGUUCUAAAAAGUCUUCACUCCAUGCCUGCCACAUGUGAAGCAUCAUGAGGAGUAUAAAGCACAGUCACCACCUCCAAAGGGCUCCCCAUCACCAUGAAGAGGUACGAGAAACACUGAAUUAUGGAGCUGUGAGUAAGUGCCAAGAUGAGUAGAGAUACUAAAUAUUAACUGUACUGGGAAGGGUGAUUUUUCAAGAUAUAAAAAGAACUAUCAGUGAUCAAAGGCUUCAUGAUAAAAAGGAGGCAGUGAGAUUUGGUUGGCCCCUGACUGAAGCAUAGGACUUAGAGCAAAACCAAGGAAAGGAAUUUCAGGUGAAAAGAGUGGGGGAUGAAAGAAGUCAGCAAGUCUCCAAUGCUGCCAGCCUGGGAGAUUAGCAGAACCACAGUUUGGCGGAAACAGAUGACAGUUUCGUUUGUGACAUCCCAAAUUUCAAGUUAUAGCAAAACAAUCCAAAGAGAAUGUCGAAUAGAGAGCUGGAAGAGUUAGGUGGGGCCUAAAGACGCUAAGCAGAACACGUCAUUAAAUGGGUCACAAUUCAAUAAUGUAACCCAAUAAUUCACAAGCACAACAGUUCAUCCGGCCCUAUAUUCUGACAGUGAUACCAAUAUAUGUCUCUUGGGUGAGCACUGCCCUUUACUGACAUUGUCCUAAAAACAUUCAGAAUGUCCCCCACCCCUUAAAUUUACCUUUCAUGAUGGAUCUAUCAUCUAUCAAUUUAAUUAAACCUUUUAAAAUCUAUGCAACAUUCAGGAUAUGAGAUUUUCAUGUUUUCAAUUCACCCAAUGAACUUGACUUUCUCUUUCCAAUACCCAGAAAUGCCCCCUCCGCAUCCCAGCAUCACACAACAAACAAGGUAACACUAUCGCCACUUCGUGAUUCUGUUAACUUUAGUUGAUAUGAUUUGGAUUUGCGUCCCCACCAAGUCUCAUGUCGAAUUGUAAUCCCCAGCGUUAGAAGUGGGGCCUGGUGGGAGGUGACUGGAUCAUGGGGGUGGAUUCUUCAUGAAUGGGUUAGCACCAUCCCUUUGGUGCUAUUCUUAUGAUAGAGUUCUCAUGAGAUCUGUUUAAAAGUGCACAGCCCCGGCACCCUGCUCCUGCCAUGUAAGCCGCCUCGCUUCCCCUUUGCCUUCUGCCAUGAUUAAAAGUUCUAUGAAUGAGGCCUCCCAGAAACAGACACUGCCAUGCUUCCUGUAUAGCCUGCCAAACCAUGAGCCAAUUAAACCUCUUUUCUUUACAAAUUA